rnacentral:sRNA from 19 species
UUUCCUUAUACACCACAGCAAUAAGCGCUGAGUACAUCUCAGCAUAAAGUAUUAAACAAAUGUCGGUGUAGCCUAUGCAAACUGUGAAUCUUAAAUAUUGGUCAUGGAUUGGGGCGUUCUCAGUAUCGCUCUUGUUCUGGGCUCAACUUAUCUGGAUUGUCUCUUUCUGAUCGUAUGCCGGUAAAUGCCCGAUGGCGCAACGUCAUCGGG